UACGUAGGUGGCAAGCGUUUGUCCGGAUUUAUUGGGCGUAAGCGCGCGCAGGUGGUGCGGUAAGUCUGCCGUGAAAUCUCCCGGCUCAACUGGGAGGGGGCGGUGGAGACUGCCGGACUGGAGGGACUCAGAAGGCCGGUGGAAUUCCCGGUGUAGUGGUGGAAAUGCGUAGAGAUCGGGAGGAACACCAGUGGCGAAGGCGGUCGGUGCUGGGGUGCCUGACG
rnacentral:rRNA from 1 species